AACGAACGCUGGCGGCAUGCCUAACACAUGCAAGUCGAACGAGACCUUCGGGUCUAGUGGCGCACGGGUGCGUAACGCGUGGUAACCUGCCCUUAGGUUCGGAAUCACUCCCCGUAAGGGGUGCUAAUACCGGUUAAUGUCUUCGGACCAAAGAUUUAUUGCCUUUGGAUGGGCCCGCGUUGGUUUAGCUAGUUGGUAGGGUAAAAGCCUACCAAGGCGACGAUCCAUAGCUGGUCUGAGAGGAUGAUCAGCCACACUGGGACUGAGGCACGGCCCAGACUCCUACGGGAGGCAGGAGUAGGGAAUAUUAGACAAUGGACGAAAGCCGGAUCCAGCAAUGCCGCGUGAGUGAUGAAGGCCUUAGGGUUGUAAAGCUCUUUUACCCGGGAUGAUAAUGACAGUACCGGGAGAAUAAGCUCCGGCUAACUCCGUG
rnacentral:rRNA from 1 species